rnacentral:rRNA from 1 species
GACGAACGCUGGCGGCGUGCCUAACACAUGCAAGUCGAGCGAGUGGAUCUCCUUCGGGAGUGAAGCUAGCGGCGGACGGGUGAGUAACACGUGGGCAACCUGCCUCAUAGAGGGGAAUAGCCUUUCGAAAGGAAGAUUAAUACCGCAUAAGAUUGUAGCUUCGCAUGAAGUAGCAAUUAAAGGAGCAAUCCGCUAUGAGAUGGGCCCGCGGCGCAUUAGCUAGUUGGUGAGGUAACGGCUCACCAAGGCGACGAUGCGUAGCCGACCUGAGAGGGUGAUCGGCCACAUUGGGACCGAGACACGGCCCAGACUCCUACGGGAGGCAGCAGUGGGGAAUAUUGCACAAUGGGGGAAACCCUGAUGCAGCAACGCCGCGUGAGUGAUGACGGCCUUCGGGUUGUAAAGCUCUGUCUUCAGGGACGAUAAUGACGGUACCUGAGGAGGAAGCCACGGCUAACUACGUGCCAGCAGCCGCCGUAA